ensembl:lncRNA
AAGAUGGGCGUGGAUGUUAGCUAGGGCCAGUCUUUCUCAGUAAAAAGAGGAGGAUUGGCAGUAGUUAGCUCAGGGCUAAUCUUCCUCAAGGAAAAAAAAAACUUAAGAAAAAAUAGUGCAUAACAGGGUUGAGAAAGGCAGAAAUAAAUGUUGAAUUAUGUGCAAUAUGUACAAUGCACCUCCUACUCUUAACAGGCAAAGAAAUAUAAUGAAGAUGUGUCCUCAUGGCUAGUUCUUGUUUACCAAUAUUUAUCAAAAUAAGGUCUUUAACUUCACACAUCCUUUGGUUUAGACAUUUUCAAUUCUUCUCAAAAUAUUUGGAGAUAGUUAUUCUAAGGGUGUUUCAACUUUUAGAAAUAGAGAUCAUUGAGAAAGCAAAAAGAAAGAUAAAAUAAUUUUUUUCUUAUUUUGACAAAUAGUCUCAAAUAUAAGAUAUACCCAUAAAGGUGGGCGUGGGGGCUUCAAGAUAUGGGUACUCACAUGACCAUAAAUGGAAUAUUUUCUGUUGAAACACAGCACAUUGGAUCGAUAAGAGCACUGUAUUUGGAAUAUAUGUUAAAAUUUUGAGCACCUGCAAACCCAUCCUUGAGCGAAUAUGUGCCCCGUCUGUCGUAGGAAUUUCCGUUGUUGCUUUUGGAUUCAGAAAGCGAAGGUGCUGAUGUACCCUCGGCAGAAGGAGACAAGUUGCUGGUGCUGUAAAGGAAACACUGUGAAGUUCAGACACGUGGGCGUGUCGGGGCCUAGAGGACAAAGUCCUAUCUCUCUAGACACCUGCAGGGGCUUGACUUUCUCAAACUUGUGCUUCUAAGCUCAUUCUUUGCUAAUAGCACCUCCCUAAUCUUUGGUUUCUGCUUUUAAAGAUCUUUUAAAGCUGUGCGACCUUCCUUUUCAGCUUCACAUGUGGCAGCCAUUUUUACCUCCAGGAAAAGUGGGCUUUUUGCUUUUCUCGUUGACAACGACGGUAUAAUGCUUCCAUUUCUUGGGCACUUACUGUGUGCCCGUUCCUGUGCUUCACGCUCUCCACGACUUCUCUCAGUCACCCCUCACAACUCCGUGACGUGGAUCCUCCUGGAAUCUCCACUGCAGACAAGGACAUGGGAGAAGACGGGUUUAUUCUGAAUUAUUUUGGCAGAAGAGUGCUUUUGCUCAGGGGCGUGAGGAAAGGCAGAGGAGUGUGGAGAAGAGCAGAGGGAGGGCAUGCUGUGUGUCCCUGCUGAGCCACAUGCUCGGGAACUAGCCUCAGAGCAGAGGGUCAGACCUAGAAGUGCAAGGACUUGAUGUCACAGAGACAUGUGGGCCAAGCCUCUGCUGUGCGGCUCAGAGCUGGGGAGAGCGCCUUGUCUGUACCUGGCACCGAGCCCUCUACUACUCUGGCAUCCUGAGCACGGGUGGCUUGAGGGCAAUGGGAGGACGUGCUCUUAGCUGGACACAGAGACAGAAGGAGCAGAACACGGGAGAUGUGCCUCCGAGUCCACAGGACCCAAAGAUCACUAAGCACCUAGGGAGGCCUGGGGAGACGGAGGGGGUCGUCCUCCAUUAGCUGAUAGGGAUGUGGGCUCUUGGGUG